AACUUCAAAUUCACACAUCUGUUCAGUGGCAGAGACACAGAGGAUUGAGAAUAUUGAGAACAAUCUUCCACUUGCCCACUCCCAACCUCACAGUGGCAAUCCAAGACCUCAGGCUCCUCUGGAAGUUGCUGGUCCAACAUGUCAGCAUCAUGGACAGCCCCACUGCCAGCCCUCUUCUGUGGAGGGGUCUGUGUCUGGGAGGCUAGGCACCACAGACAGCUUUUAGGGCAUUUCCAGGGCCACCACUGCCCACAGCUCCCCACCGUCAGCCUUUGGCCUUGGAGAGGUGUACAGUGAAAAUAAAACUAAGCCAGCCCCUUGCUCAACUCCUGGCUACACAGUUCUCACAGCAGACCUGACAAGAUCCUCUUGGGCCGGCCCCGUGGCUUAGCGGUUAGGU